rnacentral:lncRNA from 1 species
UAGAAAAAAAGAGAAGAAAAAUUAAGUUGAAGAUCCAAACAAAGAAGCUUUAAAAACCAGUCCCGGUUAUACUUUAAAUCCUUCGAUACUCCAAAUUGAACCCCAGCUCCUGCCAAACAUAAGACACUGAACCCCAGAAGAAUGGAAGAAAUCAUGGUGAAAAUCCACAAAAGAAAAAAUUAAUAACCAGUUAAAGUCAUCAGUUAUACUUGCGUCCUUAACACCCAGAGUCCAAUUACAAAUCCCUUAUCCUACCGAACGAAAGAGAAUUUUUGAAAAUCCAAACAAAAAUGCAGCAGCUUUAAAAACCAGUCCCAAUUAUACUUAAAUCCUUCAGUACUCCAAAGUGAUGUUUAGGUUGAAGAUUUAAAACCCAUAGAAAGUCCAAUUGCAAAUCCAUGCUCCUGCCAAACAUAAGACACUGAACCGUAGAAAAACAAAAGAGAUUAAGGUGAAGAUCCAGAAAAACCAGUCACCAGUUAUGCUUAGGUCCUUCAAUACCCAAGUCCAAAUACAAAUCCCUGUUCCUGCCGAAUAUAUAAGAGAGCCAAACGUAGAACAAAAGACAAGAUUAAGUUGAAAAUCCAGACAAGGAGAAGCUUUAAAAACUAUAGGACAAAAAUUUGAAAACCACCAUUCUGAAGUCACUCAUUUAGGUAGAAAAUCCUAGUUAAACCAUCCAAGAAGAGGUCCUUCAAUAUUUCAAAGUCGACUUACAAUUUCCAGAUGCUGCCAAACACAUGGUACUCAAUAUGGAAGAGUGAAAGAGAUGAACAGAAAAGAAGUUUCUAGUUAUGCACAAAAAACAAAAUCAUAGUUGCAAUUUCCCUAAUAGAAAGUGAAAUCAAAGACAUCAUGGUUACAGUUUCCCUUAGUAGUGAAGUAAAAUCAAGACAAAACCUAAUAACAGAAAAUCCUUCAAUACUUAACAUGCAAGAACAGUUUAAGGCCAUCACAACAAUCCAUAACAGUUUUAACAUAAUUCAGACCCCUCACAGCGUUCAAGCAAAAUUCUCCAAUUAAGGGUAGUGUGACCAAUUAUGGCAAACGCAUAUGCAGAGAGCUGAAAAUAAAUGAAAGAAACAGCUUGUCAAACUGAUGGAAGACCAGAUCAAACAAAAACACAAGUGUGAGAACCAAUGGCACAGUUUGUUGAGAACAAAAUCUUGCUCCUGAACCCCCAAAGUUAAUCUCCAAUACACUCGGUCGUUUAACUGCACAAAAGCAUCUUCACGAUUCAAAUUCCAAUACUUCAUCCAAAGAGAAAACACCACCAAAAAAAGUUGAACUAAAAUCAAAUCCUCUUAUCCUUAUUAGUGAGACUGAGAACUGAUAACCCCCCACAACCGAUACACCGUGUGAUUCUGCUGAGAGAUAGCUGGAAGCAUAAACAACUAUACAAUUCGUGUCAUCGAAUCCAAUAACUUUUAUGUGCUCGGCCAAAAAUAAAAAGCGAUAAAAAGCAAAAUUGAGUAUAUAUGAUACUGUCAGCGACGACCAAUAAGUGCUCAUUAAACGCUUACUCUCCUAUCUUGAAAGUGUGUCAACAAAUAGGAUGAGGGAACAACAGGUUGGGCCUAUCGUCAUUCUCAAAACUAACAAUAUACCGAGGUAGAAGUCACCAUAUGAAUGAGUAUGGUAGUCAAAAGUAUCGAUCGGUAGACAACACUGCAAAGGAACAGGAAUUGACAUGUUCAUACUAAAUACAUGGAAAGAAAAUAGAAGAGACAAUAGAAAAGAUCCGGGGCAUUCAAACUCCAGGUACAAGUCACCAACUCCUCAAACUCCAGGAACAAGUCACCAACUCCACAUCUAACUCGGUUACACGGACAAUGUUAACGAUCGUAACACUGCAAGAAAACAGGUUCAAAUUGAACUUUGCACGAACCAUUAAUGCUAAAUAAUAAAUAUGGCAGAAAAAUUCAGUAGAGAAGACAUGUUUAAUCUAGAUCAUGAGCCUGUAUUAUUUUUCCAGAGCUUUUUUCCAAAUCAUAUCUUCCUUUUCCAAAAUUCUAAAUCACUGCAACCAAUGAAAAGCAUUGGAGGUCAUAAACAACGUGAAACAACUAUAUAAUCAAGUUAUUUUUAUAAUAUUUAGGGGAUAGAAAGAAAAAAGAAUAAUAUAACAAGGACAUAUCAAUCUCGGAAUCUUGAACAGUCUCGGUGCAAUCCCAUACCCUUCAAUUGGUUCCUAAGGAAAAGAGAAACAAAAACCGAUUUCCAAGCACGAGAAAAUAACAAAGGAAAUAACACAGUAGCAAAUUUAAAAUUUAAAAAAGCAAAAAUUAAACAAAUGAACCAGGCAAGUGCAAAAGCAUAUCACCAGGAUGCACUCAACACCCAUGAUUGGACAACACUGCACAGGAAACCAACGACAUUUAAUUCAAAUGCUGCUAGCACAGUAGGUUGGAAUGAACAAAAAGGAAAGGAAGAGUUCGAAAAACUGUUUUAGGAAACUAGAUUCCAUUCACGGUAUGCUUCGUGCUCAACAACAAGGCUACAAUGCUGCAUAGAAUAUAGCUACAUUUUAAUUCACAAUGCAUGCUGCUUUAAUAUUUAGUUAAAUGAUCAAGGAAAUAAAAUGUAUAGAGAAUCAGAUUGCUUUUAUGGAAUUAGAUAUAUGGUCCUCGGGUCUUGCAAAAUACACUGCAAACCAAGCAAAAACAAGCAAAUCUAAAUCUCUCCGGGAAUAAGAACAGUACAGAAUAGGAGAAUUUUCAGGAAAAAAAACAAGGAUUCAGAGAGUUCUCAGUUUCUUUUGGGCAAAAGUAGAAUUCAUCCUCCAAACCCCAACAAAAAGCGAGCAUUCAUAAUCCAGAUAAUGUCGCCUUUAACAAUCAACAGCUGCAUGAAAGAAAAGCCAUGUUCAAACAACACAACUAUCCCUGAACCAGAUCAUCAAAUUAGAAAAGCUCAACCAAACUUCUGGGUCAAGAAAGAUCUUAAACGAAGCCAACACAUCAUCCACAUAAUUCGCUACACCUGAAGAGAGAAAAUCACAAUUCCAAUCCAGCAAACAAGAAUAGCACCCUGUCCAUAUGUUCAUCGCCUGGUUCUUUUCCCUGUGAAACUGUAACCAUUCCCAAGAUUAUCGAAUCCAGAAAGAAGCAUCUUGAUCAGCAGCUAAGUAAAUCCAAAAUCCACAAAUCCAAUAAUAGUUCUAUAAAAAUUCACAGGAAAAACAAAUCAAAGAACACUCCUCCCCAAGCAAUAUGAAGAACAUCAAAGAAAUGAAAUGCACAGGAACAAAGACGCUAGACACAGAGAACACUAAAGCCAGUUAGAAGUCACCAUUAUACAUGAAUGCCUGUUGCCAAAAGUAUGAUUGGAAGACAACACUGCGAAUGAACAGACGAAAUUCAAUUGUUUUGGUGACUAGAUGAAAAUUCAAUUGAUAUCUGCAUACUUAUGCAUAUGAACUAGCAAAAAAAUAAAAAACCAAGAGACAAGAGAUCCCAGUGCGUCCAAACUCCAGGUACAAUGUUACUUGACCAAAACAAUAGCACUGCAAGAGAACAAGUUCAAAUUUAAUUUUGCAUGACCAUUAACGCAAGAUAGUUAAAAAAGAAAAGUUAAUCAGAUUAUGAGCCUGUUUUUUAUUUUGAGCCUUCCUGCCAUAUAUCUUCUAUCCAUUAUUCCAGAUUUCUGCAACCAAUUUAAAGCAUUGCAGGCCAUAAACAAGAUAACUCCGUAAUCAAACUAUUAUUUAAUCCUAAAAAAAAAUUGAUGCAUAUGUUAGAAGGGAAUUAUCAAUUUCAGAAUCUUGGACACAUCGCCUAAGUGCAAUCCCCAUAUCCUUCAAUCCUUCAAUUGGUUCCUAAAGCAAAAAAGAGAAACAUAAACCGAUUUCCAAGAAGGACAGAAUUAUAAAGGAAACAACAAAGAACCAAAGCCAAUUAUUUAAAUUUAAAAAAAAAAAGAGCAAAACUUAAACAAAUGAACCAGACAAGUGCAAGAAACAUAUCGACCAGGAUCAGACAAAACUGCAUAGGAAACACAUCCACAUUUAAUUCACAAUGCUAGCACAGUAGGUUGGGAAAAAAAUGCAGGGAAAGAAAGCUUAGAAAAACUGUUCUUGAUCUCUAUCCUCUGUAUGUGUCGCACUCAAAACAACCACGCUUCAAGAUGGACAACGCUGCAUAGAAUAUAGAUUCACAUUUUAAUUCACAUGCAUGAUUUAUAAUUUAUUUAUAAUUGAAUCUAAAAAAGGGUAAAAGUAGAGGAUUUGUUCUGUUUUACGGAAUUAGAUAUCUAGUCGUCCAUAUCGAAAAUUGCCGAAAAUUCUUUCCAAUAUCUCCAAUCUACAAAUCUCCAACCUCCCAAAUACACUGCAAACCAAGCAAAACCGAAGCUAAAUCCCCCUACAAUAAUAGUGAUAAGAACAGUCGAAGAAUAGAAGUUUUAGGGGGAAAAAAAAAGCAAGGAUUUGUUCUCGGUUUCUUCGGAUCUAGGCAAACGCAGAAUUCAUCCUCCAAUCACCAACAGAAAGCAACCGUUCACAAUCUAGAUCGCCUGAAUAAUCAGGAAAACAGUCCCGUAAAAGAAAAGCCAUGUUCGACCAGCAAAACCGUAGCUAAAUCUCUACACAAGAACAAUAGUUGAAGAAUAGGAGAAGUUUCAGAAAAAGCUAGGAUAAAGAGAGUUCUCAGUUUCUUUGGAUCUAGGAAGAAGCAGAAUUCAUCCUCCAAUCACCGACAAAAAGCAAGCAUUCACAAUCGAGAUCUCGCCUGAACAAUCAGGCAAACAGUUCCGUGAAAAAAAGAGGUCAUGUUCAACAACACAGAACCGUAACAGAACAGAUCAUCAAAUUAGAAGAGCUCAAACAAACUUCCAGAUCGGAAAAGAUCUUCAAUUCAGCUAACAGAUCAACCAGAAGAAUUAGCCACACCUAAGUAGAGAAAAUCAUAAUUCCAAUCUAGCAAACAAGAAUAACACCCGUUCAUAUGUUCAUCACGUAGUUCUUCUCCCUGAGGCAAAUCCACAAGCCACAAAUUCGAAUACAGUUCUAUAAAAGGAAUCUGAUUGUAAUUCACAGCAAAAACAUAUUGAAUGUUCUAGAUCAUGGAUGAAAUCUUGAAAUCGGGAACCAUAGAGAACAACACGAAGACUAUUAAAGCAAAUAUUCACAAAUGUGAGGAAGAGUAGAAUUAGCUAAAAGAUAGACUCAACCGAAACCAUUGCACCAACGCUUUCAAAAUAACCUACAAUGCAGUAGUAAGAGAAUUAAGAAAACGCAGGUGUUUAUAUACGAAGGGAUGGGUGAGGAUGGGCGGCUAUGAUUAACUCGGUGGGUGAGAGAAUGAACGGUUCUG